UACGUAGGGUGCGAGCGUUGUCCGGAAUUAUUGGGCGUAAAGAGCUCGUAGGCGGCUUGUCGCGUCGUCCGUGAAAACCUGCGGCUCAACUGCAGGCUGGCGGUCGAUACGGGCAGGCUGGAGUUCGGUAGGGGAGACUGGAAUUCCUGGUGUAGCGGUGAAAUGCGCAGAUAUCGGGAGGAACACCAGUGGCGAAGGCGACUACCUGGCCUGUUCUUGACGCUGAGGCGCGAAAGCUAGGGGAGCAAACGGG
rnacentral:rRNA from 1 species